AUAAUUUAGUUUACUUCUGAAUAUUUUAAAUAUAAUGAAAACAAAUAUAACAGUUUUGUUUUCAAAACUCUCUUGAGGUAUCAACCAUUAAAAGAUAGGGGUUUUGUAAAAAAAAAAAAAAACACACAGUGGUUUAUUGAAUACUUACAACGUUUACACCUUCAAUAUUAAUUCCACUUAAUUUUAGAGGACGGAAGUGCACAAAACAAGGAGCUGUUGGAAACAUCUUCAAAGUGGGAACCACAUCAGGUGGAAAUGUGG
rnacentral:lncRNA from 1 species